GAUGAACGCUAGCGAUAGGCUUAACACAUGCAAGUCGAGGGGCAGCAUGGUCUUAGCUUGCUAAGACUGAUGGCGACCGGCGCACGGGUGCGUAACGCGUAUGCAACUUGCCUCACAGAGGGGGAUAACCCGUCGAAAGACGGACUAAUACCGCGUACACUCCACUUUGGGCAUCCAAUGUAGAGGAAAUGAAAUUCGCUGUGAGAUAGGCAUGCGUCCCAUUAGCUAGUUGGUGAGGUAACGGCUCACCAAGGCGACGAUGGGUAGGGGAACUGAGAGGUUGAACCCCCACACUGGUACUGAGACACGGACCAGACUCCUACGGGAGGCAGCAGUGAGGAAUAUUGGUCAAUGGGCGAGAGCCUGAACCAGCCAAGUCGCGUGAAGGAUGACUGUCUUAUGGAUUGUAAACUUCUUUUAUACGGGAAUAACAAGAGCCACGUGUGGCUCCCUGCAUGUACCGUAUGAAUAAGCAUCGGCUAACUCCGUGCCAGCAGCCGCGGUAAUACGGAGGAUGCGAGCGUUAUCCGGAUUUAUUGGGUUUAAAGGGUGCGUAGGCGGCCUGUUAAGUCAGCGGUGAAAUCUAGGAGCUUAACUCCUAAAUUGCCAUUGAUACUGGCGGGCUUGAGUGUAGAUGAGGUAGGCGGAAUGCGUGGUGUAGCGGUGGAAUGCAUAGAUAUCACGCAGAACUCCGAUUGCGAAGGCAGCUUACUAAGGUACAACUGACGCUGAAGCACGAAAGCGUGGGUAUCAAACAGG
rnacentral:rRNA from 1 species